UACGUAGGGUGCAAGCGUUGUUCGGAAUCAUUGGGCGUAAAGCGCGUGUAGGUGGCUAGUUAAGUUGGAUGUGAAAUCCCUGGGCUCAACCGAGGAAGUGCAUUCAAAACUGGCUGGCUAGAAGAUGGUAGAGGAAGGUGGAAUUCCAAGUGUAGAGGUGAAAUUCGUAGAUAUUUGGAGGAAUACCGGCGGCGAAGGCGGCCUUCUGGGCCAUUCUUGACACUGAGACGCGAAAGCGUGGGGAGCAAACAGG
rnacentral:rRNA from 1 species